GAGUUGUGGGCGGUUGUCCGAGCGACCUCGGGCGGCGCAGCUUAGGUUGGGGGCUGCAGUACGGUGAAACGAUUACAGAAAUUGGAGAUCAACAGUUAUUUCAAAACGGGCAGCUCCUGACUCGGCGUGAGACUGAGUUGUAUUGUGCCCAGGUGGCGCUGUGUGCAAAUAGGAUUAUUGAAGGGGAGGAGUUUAGUGCUGAAAACCUUGAACUAUGACAUUCUGUGAGAAUGCUUAAUUUUAAAUAGAUUCCCCGCAAGAACAAUGGCUUUCGGUGCAACGGAGCUGUUAUGUGGAGAGGCUGAGAUACAAAGGAAAGUUCCAAAACGUAUGAGAGAAGGUUUGCUGGAAAAUGACUUGGUUAAAACCUGACAAUCUUACCAGGAGCAUCCUGCAGGUCGAUGAAUACUAAUGAAGCUAUGACCGUCACCGAUUGAUGAUGAACAGCUUCAUUUGAAAUGACAGGGGUCGCUGUCUGCCUAUUGAAAGGCCAGUUUGCCAUGAAGUUCCUAAGGUGUAAACAUGUCUGGCUAGUGCCACGAGAUUUACUUGUCUGUUGUAUGAAAAACUGGUGAUCAGGAAAAGCUCUUGCUUUUAUGGACACGGAAAGAAAACAAAACUCAAGACAGAUUAUUUUCUUUAAUUUUGAAAUUGCAUUUGUAAAUAGAUUUCUGAGCCAACAUCGAAUCUAGAUUAAUGCAUCCAUAAGAUUCAAGCCAUUUCUGUUUAAUCAUGUCACUGCCCUAGAGUCGUAACCUGUUAGCCAGUAUAUUAUUGAUACUUUCUAGCUCUGAAACUGUUUUUAAUGGAAAAUUCUUUUUCAGUUAUCCAGACUUGUAAUUAAAUAAUUUUGAGUGAAUGUUUAGCCUUUGGUCACCUGUCUGAAUUUAAAAUGUAUAAUUGUAAAUACAGCCAAGUGAAAGUUUAUACUAUUGUGGGAAAAUCCUUAGUAGGGGGAGAAGACUUGGUUUGGCAAUCAUAAGGAUCACAAGGGGAUAUGGAAAACCUUGGCUUUGUGCAGGGUACUAAGUAUUACUGAAUUAAUGGAGGUGAAAGCAGAGAGGACCUAUGACUGGGGCAAGGGGAGGGAAAGCCAGGCAUCAAAACGAUCAGUAUACUAGCUGAAUUGUGGAAUAUUUAGUCCUACUGUAAUAGUAAUAUGAAAGGGUAUUUAUGCUAAAAAUGGGGAGGAGUAAUGCUGAAAAUUAAGGAAGAGAGCACAGCAUAACAAUCAGGAGUCAUGAGGGAAGGUCAUUGAUAAAAUCUGGGUUAAAAGUGGUCAAACAUUGUACAGAAUGGAUUAGUGUAAACAGUAAUAGCAUCUGAUCUAACCAAGGUGGUUGGGCUCCAUGCAUAAUCAUUUUCCCUAAAUAGCUGCAUGAAUAAAUUGUUCCCAAGCCCAUAUUUAAAUGUCAAAGUCAGAGUGCCAAUGUUCUUGUCACCUUAUAAUGAACUCUUUCUUAAAAUGUUCACCUGCCUCAGUGAGAAUUCAAUUUGGGGUCCAUGCAGCUCAGUCAGGUUCAUGAGACUGAUAAGCCUGUAGUGGUCAGGCACAUAGUGAAUUUGGCCCAAGUAUUAAGACAGUGUACAAAAAUGGGGCUCUGAAAAUGUUUCUUGCAGUCGUAAACCACCUCCGUGUACAGCAUUGUGUUACAUUGUUCUUUAUUGCACUUAUGUGUAUUUGGAAAUGAGGAAACAUUGGCACUGCAAUCUGCACCCUUGAUCACUGAUCUCCCUUACCCCGCUUUAUUUGGUUGGAACUUUUACAACAUGCUCGAUAAGAUCUGUUUCACACACUGACAUCUUAAGUACCUAGAUACCUUAACUACCUGGCACUUGGUUGUCAGUAAAUGUUAAACGAACAGUGAAUGAUUAAAGACCAAUUGGGAUCUACACAAAACUUGCAGAGAAAACUGCCCUUUUGUCAGAGUUGGCAAACAUCAGUCCCUUCAAAACAAGGCAUGAAAUGAAUAAAACUUGGCUUUAGAGCCCUUUGACCUCUUUUCCCUCAGUUCCUUCUGGUUUUGCUCCUUUCCCUCCCAGUCAGUCUUAUAAAGUAUCAUAUUUCCUUAGUUGAUAAAAUCCAAAUAAUGUAUGUAUACUUCAUUGCACUAUACUAGGUUCUGCCAGGGAGGUCAAGGGUAAAACAUUUACUAUGUCCUCUGUCACAUCAAUAGUUGUACAAGGUACCAAGAAAGAAGGCAAGAUACAGGGAUGCAAAGAACUGAGGAGAUUGAACAAGUGAUAAAUUUAGGCGUAGGAGACACCAACCAAAGAUGGUAUGCUGAGGGUGGUAAAUUGAGAAUUUAGGCAUCAGUUGGAUGGAUAGAUGUGGGACAAAUAAGGUAGAGAAUAAGACUGAAAUGCUACAGUACCCCAAGCUUCUUGAGCAACAGAGAACUAAAAAAAGCUAUCAUUCAAAUUCCCUGAAACUUGACAUGUUUUCAGCAGGAAGAGACAUAGUCACUUAUUGAGCCCUACUGAUUUUGCAGGGUACACAAUUGACAAGAGAUGAGAGUUGGGUCCAAAAAGGUACAAUUUUAGUGGAACUUAGCUCAACAUAGCAGCUUCCUUUUAAAUUACCGAUUGACUUAGUAGCAUUUUUCUUUCGCACAGCAGAGGUCUUGUUACACUCUACUGGCCUUCUGAUUUGUGAAUGCUGACUUAGCUGGGUAAUAGGCAACUAACUACUAGCUAAGACCAGGGACCUUAAGCUGUUAUCUGGGUAAGGGAUUUACCUUCCAGAACAUACCUGCAACUUAGAGAGGCAGCGUAGAUUAAAAAUCAAAAGCCUAAAGACCUAAAUGAAUAGGACUGAAAUAGACCAGGAUCUCCUUGGUUAGGGCUGGUUUCAGAUUGAAAGAACAGAGUCUUACAUGUGUGUGAUGUGAGCCAAUAUUUUCUCUGCUUAACACCAUGCCUCCAGGUUAUCUUAAAAUACAGUAGGCUCAAUCCUACCUUUUGGUGUUUUCUAAAAUUAGUUCUAUUACUAGAAAUCCAAUAUCCACCGCACUUGGCUUCCCAAUCAAGUGCCCUCUGAACUGAUUAUACACUUCAUAAUCCUUGCUGUUUGCCCAGCCUGUGUGAAAGCUUUUGGCUGUUUCAUGAUUUUUAAACCAGUUCACCCAUUAAAUUUAGAGCCUUUGAAUCCCA